AAUCAACGCUGGCGGCGUGCCUCAGACAUGCAAGUCGAACGAUUAAAGCUCUCUUCGGAGAGUGUAUAGAGUGGCGCACGGGUGAGUAACACGUAAGUAAUCUACCUUUGAGUGGGGAAUAACCCGGGGAACCCGAGCUAAUACCGCAUAAUGCAGCGGCAUCGCAAGAUGACAGUUGUUAAAGGAGCAAUCCGCUUAAAGAGGAGCUUGCGGCAGAUUAGCUAGUUGGUAAGGUAAUGGCUUACCAAGGCUACGAUCUGUAUCCGGUCUAAGAGGACGGUCGGACACACUGACACUGAAUAACGGGUCAGACUCCUACGGGAGGCAGCAGUCGGGAAUUUUGGGCAAUGGGCGAAAGCCUGACCCAGCAACGCCGCGUGAAGGAUGAAGUAUUUCGGUAUGUAAACUUCGAAAGAAUAGGAAGAAUAAUGACGGUACUAUUUAUAAGGUCCGGCUAACUACGUGCCAGCAGCCG
rnacentral:rRNA from 1 species